UGAUCUGUGGCUUAGUUGGUUAAAGCGCCGGUCUAGCGAAUACGGAGUCGUGGGUUCGAAUCCCACCAGAACGC
rfam:Aedes albopictus isolate Foshan contig133438, whole genome shotgun sequence.